rnacentral:lncRNA from 1 species
UGAAGUGUACGAGCCUGUGGUCGAUGAUCAAUGGCCACACAACCCCUAUUUUUGUUGAAAAUAGCUUGAACGACCAUUUUCAAUAGUACCGAAGGCUAACACCUACAAAUUUUUGACUAAGAAAUGGUCUCCACCAGAAAUCAAAGAAUGAGAUCUAUGCCAAGGAAACAUAUGUGGGGUGAGGUGUACGAGACUCUGGUCGAUGAUCAAUGGCCACACAACCCCCAUUUCUGUAGAAAAUAGCCAUGAACAACCAUUUUCAAUAAUACUGAAGGCUAACACCUACGAUUUUUUGACCAAAAAAUGGUCUCUACCAGAAAUACAAGAAUGUGAUCUAUGGCAAGGAAACAUGUGUGGGGAAUUGUACGAGCCUCUGGUCGAUGAUCAAUGGCCACACAACCCCUAUUUUUUGUCGAAAAUAGCAUGAACGACCAUUUUCAAUAAUACUGAAGGCUAACACCUAUAGAUUUUUGACCAAUAAAUGGUCUCCACCAGAAAUCCAAGAAUGUGAUCUAUGGCAAGUAAACAUAUGUGGGGUGAAGUGUACGAGCCUCUGGUCGAUGAUCAAUAGCCACACAACCCACAUUUUUCUCGAAAAUUGCAUGGACGACCAUUUUUAUAAUACCGAAGGAUAACACCUACGGAUUUUCGACCAAGAAAUGGAUUCCACCAAAAAUCCUAGAAUGCAAUCUAUGGCAAGCAAACAUAUGUGGGGUGACACAACCCCCAUUUUUUCGAAAAUAGCAUGUACGACCAUUUUCAAUAAUACCGAAGGCUAACACCUACGGAUUUUUGACCAAGAAAUGGUCUCCCCUAGAAAUCCAAGGAUGUCGAAAAUAGCAUGAACGACCAUUUUCAAUAAUACCGAAGGCUAACACCUACAUAUUUUUGACCAAAAAUGGUCUCCAACAGAUAUCCAAAAUUGUGAUCUAUGGUAAGGAAGCACAUGUGGGGUUAGGUGUACGAGCCUAUGGUCGAUGAUCAAUGGCUACACAACCCCCAUUUCAAUAAUACCGAAGUCUGUCACCUACAGAUUGUUGACCAAGAAAUGGUCUCCACCAGAAAUCCAAGAAUGUGAUCUAUGUCAAGGAAACAUAUAUGGGGUGAGGUGUACGAGCCUCUGGUAGAUGACUAAUGGCCACACAACCCCCAUUUUUGUUGAAAAUAGCAUGAACGACCAUUUUCAAUAAUACCGAAGGCUAACACGUAUAGAUUUUUGACCAAAAAUGGUCACCACCAAAAAUCCAAAAAUAUGAUCUUUGGCAAGGAAACAUAUGUGUGGACAGGUGUACGAGCCUCUGGUCAAUGAUCAAUGGCCACACAACCCCAUUUUUGUAGAAAAUAGCCAAGAACGACCAUUUUCAAUAAUACCGAAGGCUAACACCUACGGAUUUUUCACCAAGAAAUGGUCUCCACCAGAAAUCCAAGAAUAUGAUAUGUGGUAAAGAAACAUAUGUGGGGUGAGGUGUACGAGCCUCUGGUCGAUGAUCAAUGGCCACACUACCCCAUUUCUGUCGAAAAUAGCCAUGAACGACCAUUUUUAAUAAAACUGAAGGAUAACACUUACAUAUUUUUGACCAUGAAAUGGUCUCUACCAAAAAUCCAAGAUUGUGAUCUAUGGCAAGAAACACACGGGGGGUCAGGUGUAUGAGCCUCUGGUCGAUGAUCAAUGGCCACACAACCCCCAUUUUUGUCGAAAAUAGCAUGAACUACCAUAUUCAAUAAUACAGAAGGCUAACACCUACGGAUUUCUCACCAAGAAACGACCUCCACUAGAAAUCCAAGAAUGUGAUCUAUGGCAAAGAAAAAUAUGUGGGGUCAGGUGUACGAACCCCUAGUCGAUGAUCAAUGGACACACAACCCAUAUUUUUCGAAAAUAGAGUGAACAACCAUUUUCAAUAAUACCGAGGCUAACAACUACAGAUUUUUUACCAAUAAAUAGAGUCACACAGAAUGUGAUCUUUGGCAAGGAAACAUAUGUGGGGUGAGGUAUACGAGCCUCUGGUCAAUGACCAAUGGCCCCACGACCCCCAUUUUUGUCGAAAAUAGCAUGAACGACCAUUUUCAAUAAUACCGAAGGCUAACACCUACGCAUUUUUACUAAGAUUUGGUCUCUACCAGAAAUCCAAGCAUGUGAUCUAUGGCAAUAAAACAUAUGUGGGAUGAGGUGUACGAGCUUUUGGUCGAUGAUUAAUAGCCACACAACCCCUAUUUUUGUUGAAAAUAGCAUGAACGACCAUUUUCAAUAAUACCGAAGGAUAACACCUACAAUUUUUGACCAAGAAAUGGUAUCCAAUAGAAAUCCAAGAAUGUGAUCUAUGGCAAGUAAACAUAUGUGGGGAUAGGUGUACGAGCCUCUCGUCAUUGAUCAAUGGCCACACAACCCCCAUUUUUUCGAAAAUAGCAUGAACGACCAUUUUCAAUAAUACCGAAGGGUAACACCUACGAAUUUUUUACCAAGAAAUGGUCUCCACUAGAAAUCCAAGAUUGUGACCUAUGGGAAGGAAACAUUUGUGGGGUGAGUUGCACGAGCUUUUGGUCGAUGAUAAAUGGCCACACAACCCACGUGUUUGUCGAAAAUUGCAUGGACGACCAUUUUCAAUAAUACCGAAAGCUAACACCUACGGAUUUUUUUAUCAACAAAUGGUCUCCACCAGAAAUCCAAGAAUGUGAUCUAUGGCAAGGAAACAUAUGUGGGGUGAGGUGUAUGAGCCUCUGGUCGAUGAUCAAUGGCCACACAACCCCAUUUUUUUCGAAAAUAGCCACGAAUGACCAUUUUCAAUAAUACAGAAGGCUAACACCUACAAUUUUUGACCUGAAAAUGGUCGGUUGGGAUAUAAAGAAUUCAAAACAAUAGAUCAGCUUUUAAACCUCAAAUGACGUUUCUAUGAUAUUGACUGCAUUGUAUUCACAUGAGUGAGUAUUAGAGUACAACUAGUGGAUAAAGACAUCAUUGGGCUAGCUAAUGACCUUUUGUGAUACUAGGUCACCUAUAAUCCCCACUAUUCAAGGCAUACAUAGAUGGUGUUUAUGUCCACUCAAGUAAAACACUACACUUUAUUAUGCCACAUUGUUUCUCAAAAUAAAAUAAAGACCAUGGGAAAUUUAGCCAAAUUACAUAAGAGAUCUGUCCAAACAUAGGUUAAGGUUGUAAGGCACCUUUUUCCAUCAUACAGUUGCUAAAAAGUUGGAAUAUAAAGAAUUAAAACGAAUAGACCAACUUUGAAACUAAAAAUAGUGUUUCUAUGGUAAUGAGGGCAUUAUAUUCGAAUGAGAGGGUAUUAGAGUACAACACACUGAAUGAAGACAUUAGUGGGCUAGCUAAUGACCUUUUGUGAUAAUAUGUUUCCUAUAAUCCCCUAUAUUCAAGGCAUACUUAAACGGUGUUUAUGUCCACUCAAGUAAAACACCACACUUCAAUUUGCAAUAUCGUUUCUCAAAAUAAAAUAAAGACCAUGAAAAUUUUAGCUAAAUUGCGUGAGAGACCUGUCCAAACAUAGGUUAACGUUGUAAGGCACAUUUUUUAAACCAUGCAAAAAGUUGGAAUAUAAAGAAUUCAAUACAAUAGAUAACCUUUUAAACUACAAAUGACGUUUCCCUGAUGUCAAGGGCAUUGUAUUAGCAUGAGAGGGUAUUAGAGUACAACUAGUUGAUGAAGACAUCAUUGGGCUAGCUAAUGACCUUUUGUGAUUCUAGGUUUCCUAUAAUCCCCUCUAGGUUUCCUAUAAUCCCCUCUAUUCAAUAUGCCACAUCGUUUCUCAAAAUAAAAUAAAAUAAAGACCAUGGAAAAUUUAGCCAAAUUGCAUGAGUGAAUUGUCCAAACAUAGGUUAAGGUUGUAAGGCACCUUUUUCCACCAUACAGAUGAAAAAACUUGGAAUAUAAAUAAUUCAGUACAAUAGAUCAACUUUUAAACCACAAAUGAUGUUUCCCUGAUAUCAAGGGCAUUGUAUUCGGACGAGAGGGCAUUAGAGUACAACUAGUGGAUGAAGACAUUGUUAGGCUAGAUAAUGACCUUUUGUGAUACCAGGUUUCCUAUAAUCCUAUCUAUUUAAGGCAUACCUAGAUGGUGUUUAUGUCCACUCAAGUAAAACACCGCACAUCAUUAUGCCACACCAUUUCUCAAAAUAAAAUAAAAUAAAGACCAUGGAAAAUUUAGCCAAAUUGCGUGAGUGAAGUGUCCAUACAUAGGUUAAGGUUGUAAGGCAAUUUUUUUCCACCAUACAUUUGCUAAAAAGUUGGAAUAUAAAGAAUUCAAAACAAUAGAUUGCCUUUUAAACCUCAAAUGACGUUUCUAUGAUAUUGAGGGCAUUGUAAUCACACGAGAGGGUAUUCGAGUACAACUAGUUGAUGAAGACGUUAUUGGGCUAGCUAAUGACCUUUUGUGAUAUCAGGUUUCCUAUAAUCCCUUUAUUCAAGGCAUACCUAGAUGUUGUUUAUGUCCACUCUAGUAAAACAUCACACAUCAUUAUGCCACAUCAUUUCUCAAAAUAAAAUAAAGACCAUGGGAAAUUUAGCCAAAUUGCACGAGAGAACUUUCCAAACAUAGGUUAAGGUUGUUAGGCACCUUUUUCCACCAAAAACAUGCUAAUAAGUAGGAAUAUAAAGAAUUCAAACCAAUAGAUCACCUUUUAAACUAAAAAGGACGUUUCCCUGAUGUCAAGGGCAUUGUAUUCGCAUGAGAGGGUAUUAGAGUACAACUAGUAGAUGAAGACAUUAUUGGGCUAGCUAAUGACCUUUUGUAAUACCAGGUUUCCUAUAAUCCCCUCUAUUCAAGGCAUACCUAGACGAUGUUUAUGUCCACUCAAGAAAAACAACACACGUCAAUAUGCCACAUCAUUUCUCAAAAUAAAACAAUGACCAUGGAAAAUUUAGCCAAAUCGAGUGAGAGAACAAUCCAAACAUAGGUUAAGGUUGUAAGGCACAUUGGGCUAGUCGAUGAAGACGUCAUUGGGUAAAAUUUUCCAUGGUAUUUAUUUUAUUUUGAGAAAAGAUGUAGCAAAUUGAUGAGUGGUGUUUUACUUGAGUGGUCAUAAACACAAUCUAGUUACGCCUUGAAUAGAAGGGAUUAUAGGAAACCUGGUGUUGGGGACUUGUUCUCAAAUGCUAUGAAUUAAGAACAAGGCAACAUAAAAUGUUAAAUAUCAAAGCCCUUUGUCCUUCGAAGCAUUAUUUCCCUUUGGAUAUAAUGGAUUCCGGACGAAGGUUAUGAAGGUCACACCUUCAUAAUCAUAAUAAAAGACAAGAGAGUUUUAUACAUAAAACUAGGAGAAUAACAUGACUACUCUGAACAUUAUUAUCAAUUUAUUUUUAUUUAUUUUACUUAUAUAAACAACAACAAAUUACAAAUGUACCUUCGCCUUAAAGGAAAGUAAGGGUACAAGCGUGAUGCCAAUGCCCAGUCCGCGUGAACAGUACGAGAGUACUGUUCAUCUAUUUAUAGGCACGGGACGCAGCCCGUGUAAAAUUACAUUUUUACUUUUAUCAAUAACUCUAUGGUAAUUCUUCGAGGUCUAAUUUGGCUUUUCAUCUUUAAGUCGGUUUCCCCUUUCUGCUGUCAUGCCGAAGCUCUUCUGCACAUAGCUUCGUGAUCGUUUCAUCUUUUGUCAUGAUCGUCUUCCAUUUCAGUCAAGCUUCGUCUUGACCAUGCUCUUGUAUACCCGCAACCUGAUUCCGAAGAUACCUACUCGCAUACUUGUAAAACAUUGUCAAAUCAUGUUUUUGAGGACCUUCAGAAGCCGAAGGCCCCCAACAGUAGCCCCUCGCAAUAUUAAUUUGCUGGAAUGAUAAAUUCAUAUUGCGACAUGGACGAAGGCUUUAAGCCGAAGGUCCGAAAAAACACCUUCCCUUUGCUAGAAUAACAUUAUUCAUUGACAGGCGGGACCCUCCUGAUCUCGACGCACUGGGUGUAUAAAUAAAAGCUCAACACGAUUUUAUUUGGCACGCUCUCUUGCCAUCUGCUCUUGCUCACCCAACUUUUAGCCUGUGCGCAACAACACUUGCUUGGCUUUUUAAAUUUUUAAGCUUCGGUUUCGAGAGCACUUUUCUCAACGUUUGCGAAGAUGUCUAAAGAUAAGAAAACUGUUGCUGAACCGAAGCUGAGCCUUUCUGAGGAGAUGCAUCUCGACUUUCUUCAAUCAAUAGCAAAGACCAAUACGGAGAAGAUCACUAGGGAGACCUUGGAGGGUUUAUCUGAAGAUACUGGUGACAGUGACAGUUAUGAUGUAGAAAGUGGGGGUGAAGACUCCGAAUAUCGACCGUGGCGACCAAGUCACACAGUCUUCGGUAAAUCAAGCAUUAAGCAAGUCAUCUUGAUACCAUGAAGGGAAGGUAUUUUCGAGACAUGUCUAUUGUGAGGGCAGAUGAUGGGGAGAAAACUGUGCCUACUCCCGAAGAGAAUGAAGUUGUAAUCUUCCGAAGCUUCUUGAAGGCUGGACUGCGAUUUCCCUUGAGCAAUUUUGUUGUGGAAGUACUGAAGGUAUUUGAAGUCUACCUUCACCAACUUACUCCCGAAUCAAUCAUAAGAAUGGGCAUCUUUGUCUGGGCCGUGAGGAGCCAAGGUUUAGAACAAAUGCAAAAAGUUUCUGCAAUAUACAUGAGUUAUUGUAUGAGGCGAAACCUUGGGGUAAAGAGCAGUAUCAUAACAAUUUUGGCUGCUACAGCUUCAGCGCCCGAUCUGGGUCAAGUUGUCCCGUGCCAACCUUUCGGAAAAGAUGGCCCGGCAACUGGAUGACAGAAUGGUUUUAUGUGAAGAAUAAUUUAAAAAUUCGAGAAGAUGUCAAAGGUAUCAUUAUGCGCCCUGUUUGGCAACGCUUCGGCCUUCGGAGGCCGAAGGUGGAGAUGGAUGAAACAACAGAAGAAUGCCAAAGAGCCUUCGGCGUAGUGUGCUCUUUUAUUGGGACGAGGGAUUUAAUGCAAGAACACAUUGCCUUCAGAGUGUGGCCACUUGCAGAUAACUGGGAAAUGCCGAAGGAAACCAUUAAGGAACCUGACGAAGGUGGACUAGUCAGGCUAAAAUACACAUUUAAAUACGGAGAUAAGUUCGUUGAGCCAGAUGAUGACUGGUUAAAAAGUAUUGAGGCCAUCAGUGAUGAAUUGCUUGGUGUAUACUCAAAGGCCGAAGAUACUGCAUUAUCAGCGGCCUUCGGAGGCCGAAAGAGGAAGAGGCUCAAUCGAUUGUUUGAUGCAAUUGGGUUUGUCUACCCCGACUACCGCUAUCCAGCGCGGGGUGAAAAAAGGAAGAACACAUCUUCGGCGAAAGAAACUGCUCCAGCCGCUCCUAUCGAGCCGGCGCCGAAGAGGAGAAGGGUAAAAGUUCUCACACACCGGCCACGUUAUAUUGAACCGGCCAUAGUGCCUGCAUUUGUCGGUGGGACUCCUUCGGCCACUGAAGCUAAAGAGACAACUCCCCUGCCAAAUAUUGAAGUGCUGGCCGAAGUGCCAGUGACUGAAAAAAUAGAAGAAACGAGGGCAGAAGAAGUAAAGACAUCAGAAGUCUUGAGUCCUUCGGCAAAAGCUGAGGCAACAAAAAGCCAUAAGGGUCUCGCAGUGACCCCUAAAAGAAAAAGGAUGGUUAAUGUGCUAGAUGUUUUAGAGACAAUUAAAUCUUCAAGCACAACUCCAAAGAAAAUUGCUAAAACUUCAGAAGUGCACACUGAAACCUUUGACGCCGAAGCUUCAAAGCCACAGUCUGAAACUGAAGCCGGGCCUUCAGAGCCCGCCAAGGUGAAAUCCUUGGAAACUGAAAAAACAGAAAUGGCAGAACAAAUUUUGAGUGAAGAAACUGGCACUGCUGCCCCCGAAGCAUCUUCCAAAAUACGUGAUUAUAUUGUACGACAUGCUUCGGGGAAGACAUUAUCUGAAGAAGAGUUUGAAGCUAAUCACUAUGCCCGAGAACUGAAGUAUCUGAAGGGGGCCUUAGUGUUCAACGGCACAGAUGAAGAUGACUUCUUAUACUGCCUCCCAGACAACAAAGAAUUAUCUGUCUGCCGGGAGAUGGCUAGAAGUAUGGGGUUCCCGAAGCUUGAAGCUGGGCUCUGCGCUCUGACGAAGGACGAUCUUGCGGAUAGCCUUGCAUAUAAUAGUCUGAAGGUAUGAGAAUUGUAUAUUCGAAAAUUUGUAGUUUUUGAAUCAUUCUUUUAUUCUUAUACUAAUUCUUUUUUCAUAUAGGGUUUAAUACUGAGCAACGCUUUGAGAGCGCAAAAGAAUGCCGAAGACGAGAGCUACAACAUUGCUUUCAACAACCUACGAACAGAGGUUAUUAAGCUGAGGAACGAAGCUUUGGAAAAAAGAUAAGAUUCUGAUUACAUUGGUGGAUAAAAUAAAGGAAGACGAAGCUACCUCUAAGGCUCAAGCUGAAGCCCAAAAACGCGAAAUUUAGGAUCUUCGGAAACAGCUGGCCAGAGCUAAAGAAGAACGUAUACUUGAAGAAACAAAACGAGAACUUAGUGAUCAAUGGGCAAAUCAUUUGGAAAUAAAUGUUGAAGAGCUUCGUGCAGCCAAGAAAAGGUGCUAUGACAAAUCCAUAGAGUGUGUUAAGAAAAUAAAAUCCAACUUCGCCAGCGUUGGCGCAUUCUCUAGCGAAGAAAAUUUCACAAGGGGGAAUCCAGAAGGCCCGAUUGAAUGCAUCAGCCACGAAGCCGAAGCUUUCGAGGAAAUCAUGAAUAGUCGCGGAGACAUAUGUGCUUUUUCAGGCGCCAGGGGGAUUGCGACUAUUUUGGAAAGAAAAGGCUGCGAUCAUGUGAAAUCUUUAGCGCAAACCGAAACUGCCUUGUCUUCCGAAGAUAUUAAAGACCCCUCGGCCGAAGCAAGCCUGGUUGGUGGAAAAUUUUUCACCGACAUCUGGGACAAUGGCGACCGAGAGAUGGCCCAAGAAAUCAUUCAGAAAAGUGAAAAAGGCAUCCAUUAUGCUAGGAAGGUAGCAGAGGCUGCUGAGAAAAGCGCAGAGCCCGAAGGGCAAAUAGGUAUUAAUUAGUGAUAAUUGACUCUUCGUUGUAACUUUUUGAUUUCGAACUUGUUCGUUGUUUGUAAUAAUAACAUAUCUGUAUCUUCUCUUCCCUCAGAACCUGCUGAGCUAUCACCAGGCCCCCACACGAAGGGGGAUGACGAAAUUAAACAAAUGGCUGAAGCCAUCAUGGAUAGAGUUGUUGAUCAGCUUCUAAAUGAAGCUGCAGAAGUAGUCUUAAAGGAAGAUUAAAUGCUGUUGUAAAAACAUUUAGAUUGUAAUGCUUGUUGAAUAUCAUGUGUAAUAUUGUGUAACUUUGGAUAUAGCAUUUUGGCUGUUUAUAAUUCUAUUUUUAACGAUGCAUGAAACAUCACAUACGUACCAUUUUUGAGCCUUCGGCGAAAAAAAUCCUUCCCUUCUUUUCAUGCUUUGUAAAAAUCAAUGAUCAAUCCUUGUAAAAUCAAUAAUCAAUAGGUCCCUCCAUUUCAGAGUUUGACGAUGGUAUAACUGUUCAGCGGGCUAUUUUUUGUGCCUUGUCACUAUUUCUUCAAAACAAUCUUUGGAUACCAAUAUCGAGACCCCCCUUCUUGCGUUGUUGAUGCACUAUGAUGUAUGAUGUUAUGCUAUGCAAAUGAUGUAAUGCUGUGCAAAAUGAUAUUUGCCGAAGGUUGACAUUAAUUUUUCUCUGUAAGCCUCCCUUAGGAGCUUCUUCGCCUUUUACUUCAGCGGAAUCAGUGUUUAUUUUUCGCUGUAAGCCUCCCUUAGGAGCUUCUUCGCCUUUUACUUUCAGCGGAAUCAGCGUUUAUUUUUCGCUGUAAGCCUCCCUUAGGAGCUUCUUUGCCUUUUACUUUCAGCGGAAUCAGCGCUUAUUUUUCGCUGUAGGCUCAGAAAACUUACACUGCGUUCCCUUAGGAACGACUUUUUGCUGCUUCGAAAAAAUUGCGUUGCGUUCCUUAGAACAAAUUUUUGAUAAUUCGAAGGUCCUCCUUAUCAUCAUAAAUUCUCAUGCUUCAGCAACUUGGGCCUAUGGAGAAGAUAUAUUUUCAUUAUGGUAAAAAGCGAAACUAUUACAAGAAAUUGAAAGACGAUAAAACACAUUUAGACUCUCCAUAAUUGUUCCUUAUUAAAAAGAAAAUGAUACUGAAUGUGAAAAUGCGAAAAGCUGCUGUCGAGGUAGGAUAUUUUCAGUAAAUGUGCUUCGACUCUGGCAUAGUGCUAUUGACUGUGCGAGCUUCAGACUCCUCUCUGAAGUCCCGCUGAAGGUGAGCGUGCUGAUUCCCCUCUGGCUGCUGACCUCGUUGAGUUGGUGGUGGCGGUGGAGGCUGUUGCCAAGAUGCUUGGGGUUGGCUUGCCGAAGCAACAGAAGCUGUAGAGUGAUUGCCUACAUAUUCUGGAAUGUAAGGCGAAUGGUACGAAGCAGUAUGCAUGACCUGCUUCGGCUGACUCUGUUGUACUGCAGCUUCUGCUAUCUCCUUUUGCUUCUGGAUGGUAACAUGGCACAUCCUGGUGGUAUGGCCCUUGUCUUCACCACAGAAUAGGCAGUAGAUUUUCCUUGGCUGAUCCCUAAAUCUUCCCCCGAAGCCCGUGGCGCCUCUGCCCCUUGGCGUUGGCGGCCAAAAAGAGCUUUGCUGCUGCCCCGAAGCUUGCGAGGAGUAUUGUGGCCUUUGCUGUUGGCGCCCUCUAUCAUCAUUCUGAGUGGAGUUAUGAAUUGACCUGACGUGCCUCGGAUGAAAUCUUCCUCCGAAGCCCCUAGUCAUUUCAGAGAACCUGAAUGCCUCCUCCCUUCUUUGGCGGAAGUCAUUGUCAGCUCGGAUAUACUCGACCAUCUUCUGGAGUAGCUUCUCCAAAGUUUGUGGUGGCUUCCUGGCAAAGUAUUGCGAUGAAGGUCCCGACCGAAGUCCCUUAAUCAUGGCCUCAAUGACAAUUUCAUUGGGCACUGUUGGCGCCUGUGCCCUCAGACGUAGAAACCUUCGGACAUACGCCUGAAGGUAUUCUUCGUGGUCCUGGGUACACUGGAAUAGAGCUUGAGCAGUAAUUGGCUUCGUCUGAAACCCUUGAAAGCUGGUUAUCAACAUAUCCUUCAGCUUCUGCCAUGAGGUGAUUGUCCCUGGCCGAAGAGAGGAGUACCAGGUUUGAGCGACACUCUUGACGGCCAUGACAAAAGACUUUGCCAUGACUGCAGUAUUUCCACCAUACGAAGAUAUGGUUGCUUCAUAGCUCAUCAAGAAUUGCUUCGGGUCUGAAUGACCGUCAUACAUGGGGAGCUGGGGUGGCUUGUAAGACUGGGGCCAUGGUGUAGCUUGCAAUUCUGUUGAUAGAGGAGAAGCAUCAUCAAAAGCAAAAUUUCCAUGAUGGAAAUCUUCAUACCAGUCGUCCUCAUUGUAGAAGCCCUCCUGAUGAAGCUCUCUGCACGGAGGCCUUCGGUUCUGGUCAUCCUGACCAAGAUGACGAACCUCUUCCGAAGCUUCAUCUAUCUGUCUCUGAAGGUCAGCUAGACGAGCCAUCUUCUCCUUCUUUCGUUGCACUUGUUGAUGGAGCAUCUCCAUGUUUUGGAUUUCCCGGUCCAAAUCGUCCUCCGGAAGCGUUGGACUGGUGGCCUUCCUCUUCUGGCUUCGGGCCUCCCUAAGAGAAAGGACGUCCUGAUUGGGGUCCAGUGGCUGCAGAGUAGUAGCCCCUGUCGCUGAAGCUUUUUUCGGCGGCAUGACGAAGGUGAUGCUUGCCGAAGAUGCUCAAAGCUCAAGAAAUGGAAGUGAGUUCACCGGAGGUGGGCGCCAAUGUUGGGGACUUGUUCUCAAAUGCUAUGAAUUAAGAACAAGGCAACAUAAAAUGUUAAAUAUCAAAGCCCUUCGUCCUUCGAAGCAUUAUUUCCCUUUGGAUAUAAUGGAUUUCGGACGAAGGUUAUGAACGUCACACCUUCAUAAUCAUAAUAAAAGACAAGAGAGUUUUAUACAUAAAACUAGGAGAAUAACAUGACUACUCUGAACAUUAUUAUCAAUUUAUUUUUAUUUAUUUUACUUAUAUAAACAACAACAAAUUACAAAUGUACCUUCGGCUUGAAGGAAAGUAAGGGUACAAGCGUGAUGCCAAUGCCCAGUCCGCGUGAACAGUACGGGAGUACUGUUCAUCUAUUUAUAGGCACGGGACGCAACCCGUGUAAAAUUACAUUAAUGUCCUUUACUUUAAUCAAUACCUAUAUGGUAAUUCUUCGAGGUCUAAUUUGGCUUUUCAUCUUUAAGUCGGUUUCCCCUUUCUGCUGUCAUGCUGAAGCUCUUCUGCACAUAGCUUCGUGAUCAUUUCAUCUUUCGUCAUGAUCGUCUUCCAUUUCAGCCAAGCUUCGUCUUGACCAUGCUCUUGUAUACCUGCAACCUGAUUCCGAAGAUACCUGCUCGAAUACUUGGAAAACAUUGUCAAAUCAUGUUUUUGAGGACCUUCGGAAGCCGAAGGCCCCCAACACCUGGUAUCACAAAAAGUUAUUUGCUAGCCCAAUAACGUCUUCAUCCUCUAGUUGUACUCUAAUACCCUCUCGUGCGAAUACAGUGCCCUCAAUAUCAUAAAAACGUCAUUUGUGGUUUAAAAGGUGAUCUAUUGUUUUGAAUUCUUUAUAUUCCAACUUUUUACCAACCGUAUGGUGGAAAAAUGUGCCUUACAACUUUAACCUAUGUUUGGAUAGUUCUCUCACUCAAUUUGGCUAAAUUUUCCAUGGUCUUUAUUUUAUUGAGAAACAAUGUGGCAUAUUAAUAUGUUGUGUUUUAUUUGAGUAGACAUAAACACCGUCUAGGUAUGCCUUGAAUAGAGGGGAUUAUAGGAAACCUGGUAUCACAAAAGGUCAUUAGCUAGCCCAAGAACAUCUUUAUCCACUAAUUGUACUCUAAUACCCUCUCGUGCGAAUACAAUGACCUUGACAUCUGGGAAACAUCAUUUUUAGUUUAAAAGGUGAUCUAUUGUUUUGAAUUCUUUAUAUUCCUGCUUUUUAGCAACCGUAUAGUGGAAAAAAGUGCCUCACACACAAUGGCUAAAUUUCCCACGGUCUUUAUUUUAUUUUGAGAAGCAAUGUGGCAUAUUGAUGUGCGGUGUUUUACUUGAGUGGACACAAAUACCAUCUAGGUAUGCAUUAAAUAGAGGAGAUUAUAGGAAUCCCGCUAUCACAAAAGGUCAUUUGCUAGCCCAAUAACGUCUUUAUCCACUAGUUGUACUCUAAUUCCGUCUCGUGUGAAUACAAUGCCCUCAAUAUUAUAGAAACGUCAUUUGAGGUUUAAAAGGUGAUCUAUUGUUUUGAAUUCUUUAUAUUCCAACUGUUUCACAACUGUAUGGUGGAAGAAAGGUGCCUUACAACCUUAACCUAUGUUUGGACAGUUCACUCACGUAAUUUGGCUAAAUUUUCAAUGGUCAUUAUUUUAUUUUGAGAAACGAUGUGGCAUAUUGAUGUCUUUUGUUUUUCUUGAGUGGACAUAAACACGACUAGGUAUGCCUUGAAUAGAGGGGAUUAUAGGAAACCUGGUAUGACAAAAGGUCAUUAGCUAGCCCAAUAAUGUCUUCAUCCACUAGUUGUACUUUAAUACCCUCUCGUGUGAAUACAAUUCCGUCAAUAUCAUAGAAACGACAUUUGAGGUUUAAAAGGUGAUAUAUUGUUUUGAAUUCUUUAUAUUCCAACCUUUUAGCAUCUAUAUGGUGGAAAAAAGGUGCCUUACAACCGUAACCUAUGUUUGGACAGAUCUCACACGCAAUUUGGAUAAAUUUCCCAUGGUCUUUAUUUUAUUGAGAAACAAUGUGGCAAAAUGAUGUGCGGUGUUUUACUUGUGUGGACAUAAACACCAUCUAGGUAUGCCUUGAAUAGAGGGGAUUAUAGGAAACCUGGUAUCACAAAAGGUCAUUAGCUAGCCCAAUAACGUCUUCAUCCACUAGUUGUACUCUAAUUCCGUCUCAUGUGAAUACAAUGCCCUCAAUAUCAUAGAAACGUCAUUUGAGGUUUAAAAGGUGAUCUAUUGUUUUGAAUUCUUUAUAUUCCAACUUUUUCGCAAUUGUAUGGUGGAAAAAAGGUGCCUUACAACCUUAACUUUGUUUGUAUAGUCCACUCACGUAAUUUGGCUAAAUUUUCCAAGGUCAUUAUUUUAUUUUGAGAAACAAUGUGGCAUAUUGAUGUGUUUUGUUUUUCUUGAGUGGACAUAAACACCGUCUAGGUAUGCCUUGAAUAGAGGGGAUUAUAGGAAACCUGGAAUCACAAAAUGUCAUUUGCUAGCCCAAUGACGUCUUCAUCCACUAGUUGUACUCUAAUACCCUCACGUGCAAUUACAAUGCCCUUGACAUCAGGGAAACGUCAUUUGUGGUAUAAAAGGUGAUCUAUUGUUUUGAAUUCUUUAUAUUCCAACUUGUUAGCAAUUGUACGGUGGAAAAAAGGUGCCUUACAACAUUAACCUAUAUUUGGACAGUUCUCUCACGCAAUUUGGCUAAAUUUCCCAUGGUCUUUUUUUAUUUUGAGAAAUGGUGUGGCAUAAUCAUGUAUGGUGUUAUACUUGAGUGGACAUAAACACCAUUUAGGUAUGCCUUGAAUAGAGGGGAUUAUUGGAAACCUGGUAUCACAAAAGUCAUUAGCUAGCCCAAUAACGUCUUCAUCCACUAGUUGCACUCUAAUACCCUCUCAUGCGAAUAUAGUGCCCUCAAAAUCAUAGAAACGUCAUUUGCGGUUUAAAAGGUGAUCUAUUGUUUGAAUUCUCUAUAUUCCAACUUUUUAGCAAUGGUAUGGUGGAAAAAAUGUGCCUUACAACCUUAACCUAUGUUUGGACAGUUCUCUCACUCAAUUUGGAUAAAUUUUCCAUGGUCAUUAUUUUAUUUUGAGAAACGUUGUGGCAUAUUGAUGUGUUUUUCUUGAGUGGACAUAAACACCGUCUAGGUAUGCCUUGAAUAGAGGGGAUUAUAGGAAACCUGUUAUCACAAAAGGUCAUUAGCUAGCCCUAUAACGUCUUCAUCCACUAGUUGUACUCUAAUAUCCUCUCGUGCGAAUACAAUGCCCUUGACAUCAGGGAAACGUCAUUUUUAGUUUAAAAAUUGACCUAUUGUUUUGAAUUCUUUAUAUUCCUACUUAUUAGCAACUGUUUGGUGGAAAGAAGAUUCCUUACAACCUUAACCUAUGUUUGGACAGUUCUCUCGUGCAAUUUGGCUAAAUUUUCCAUGGUUUUUAUUUUAUUUUGAGAAACAAUGUGGCAUAAUGAUGUGCUAUGUUUUACUUGAGUGGACAUAAACACAUCAAAAUGAGUUUAAGUUUAUGUGUGUUGUGUGGCCAUUGAUCGUCGACCAGAGGCUCGUACACCUCACCCCACAAAUGUUUCCUUGCCAUAGAUCAGAUUCUUGGAUUUUUGGUGGAGACCGUUUCAUGGUCAAAAUCCGUAGGUGUUAGCCUUCUGUAUUAUUGAAAAUGGUCGUUCAUGGCUAUUUUCGGCAAAAAUGAAGGUUGUGUGGCCAUAGAACAUCGAUUGGAGGCUCCUACACAUCACCCCACAUAUGUUUCCUUGCCAUAGAUCACAUUCUUGGUUUUCUGGUGGAGACCAUUUUUGGCCAAAAAUCUGUUGGUGUUAACCUUCGGUAUUAUUGAAAAUGGUCCUUCAUGCUAUUUUCUACAAAAAUGGGAGUUGUGUGGCCAUUGAUCAUCGACCAAAGCCUUGUACAUCUCACCCCACGUAUGUUUCCUUGCCAUAGAUCACAUUCUUGGUUUUCAGGUGGACACCAUUUCUUGGUCAAAAAUCAGUAGGUGUUAGCCUUCGGUAUUAUUGAAAAUGUUCGUUCAUGCAAUUUUCGACAAAAAUGGGGGUUGUGUGGCCAUUGAUCAUCAACCAGUUGCUCAUACACCUGACCCCACAUAUGUUUCAUUGCCAUAGAUCACAUUCUUGGAUUUCUAGUGGAGACCAUUUCUUGGUAAAAAAUCCAUAGGAUUUAGCCUUCGGUAUUAUUGAAAAUGGUUGUUCAUGCUAUUUUAGACAAAAAUAGUGGUUGUGUGGCCAUUGAUCAUCGACAAGAGGCUCGUACACCUCACCCCACAUAUGUUUCUAUGCCAUAGAUCACAUUUUUGGAUUUUUGCUGGAGACAAUUUAUUGGUCAAAAAUCCGUAAUGUUAGCCUUUAGUAUUAUUGAAAAUGGUCGUUGAUGCAAUUUUCGGCAAAAAUAAGGGUUGUGUGGCCAUUGAUCAUCGACCAGAGGCUCGUAGACCUCACCCACAUAUGUUUCCUUCCCAUAGAUCACAUUCUUAUAUAUCUGGUGGAGACAAUUUCUUGGUCAAAAAUCCGUAGGUGUUAGCCUUUAGUAUUAUUGAAAAUGGUCGUUCAUGCUAUUUUUGACAAGAAUGGGGGUUGUGUGGCCAUUGACCAUCGACCAGAGGCUCAUACACCACACCCCACAUAUGUUUCCUUUCUAGAGAUUACAUUCUUGCAUUUCUGGUGGAGACCAUAUCUUGGUCAAUAAUCUGUAGGUGUUAGCCUUUGUUAUUAUUGAAAAUGGUCGUUCAUGCUAUUUUCGAGAAAAAUGGGGAUUGUGGGUCCACUUAUCAUCGACCAGAGGCUCGUACAUCUCACCCCACAUAUGUUUCCUUGCUAUAGAUAAAAUUCUUGGAUUUUUGGUGGAGACCAUUUCUUGGUCAAAAAUCCGUAGGUGUUAGCCUUUGGUAUUAUUGAAAAUGCUCGUUCUUGCUAUUUUGGACAAAAAUGGGCGUUGUGUGGCCAUUGAUCAUUGACCAGAGGCUCAUACACCUGACCCCACAAAUGUUUCUUUGCCAUAGAUCACAUUCUUGGAUUUUUGGUGGAGACCAUUUCUUGGUCAAAAAUCCGUAGGUGUUAACCUUCGGUAUUAUUGAAAUGGUCGUUCAUGGCUAUUUUCGGCAAAAAUGAAGGUUCUGUGGCAAUUGAUCAUUGACUACAGGCUCCUACACCUCACCCCACAUAUGUUUCCUUGCCUAGAUCACAUUAUUGGUUUUCUGGUGGAGACCAUUUCUUGGCCGAAAAUCUGUUGGUGUUAGUCUUCGGUAUUAUUGAAAAUGGCCUUCAUGCUAUUUUCGACAAAAAUGGGAGAUGUGUGGCCAUUGAUCAUCAACCAGAGGCUCAUACACCUCACACCACAUAUGUUUUCUUGCCAUAGAUCACAUUCUUGGAUUUCUGGUGGAUACCAUUUCUUGGUCAAAAGUUUGUAGGUGUUAGCCUUCGGUAUUAUUGAAAUUGUUCGUUAAUGCUAUUUUCGACAAAAAUGGGGGUUGUGUGGCCAUUGAUCAUUGACCAGACACUCAUACACCCCACCCCACAUAUGUUUCCUUUCCAUAGAUUACAUUCUUGCAUUUCUAGUGGAGACCAUAUCUUGGUCAAAAAUAUGUAGGUGUUAUCCUUUGGUAUUAUUGAAAAUGGCCGUUCAUGCUAUUUUCGAGAAAAAUGUGGAUUGUGAGGCCACUUAUCAUCGACCAAAGGCUCGUACAUCUAACACCACAUAUGUUUCCUUGCCAUAAAUAAAAUUCUUCGAUUUUUGGUGGAGACCAUUUCUUGGUCAAAAAUCCGUAGGUAUUAGCCUUCGGUAUUAUUGAAAAUGGUUGUUCAUGGCUGUUUUCGACCAAAAUGGGGGUUGUGUGACCAUUGAUCAUUUACCAGAGGCUUGUACACCUCACCCCACAUAUGUUUCCUUGCCAAAGUUCACAUUCUUGUAUUUCUGGUGAAGGCCAUUACUUGGUCAAAAAUCCGUUGGUGUUAGCCUUCGAUAUUAUUGAAAAUGGUCGUUCAUGCUAUUUUGGACAUAAAUGGGGUUGUGUGAUCAUUGAUCAUCGACCAGAGGCCCAUAAACCUGACCCCACAUAUGUUUCCUGACCAUAGAUCACAUUCUUGUAUUUUUGGUGGAGACCAUUUCUUGGUCAAAAAUCCGUAGGUGUUAGCCUUCGGUAUUAUUGAAAUGGUUGCUUAUGGCUAUUUUCGGCAAAAAAUGAAGGUUGUGUGGCCAUUGAUCAUCGAUUAGAGGCUCGUACACCUCACCCCACAUAUGUUUCCUUGUGAUAGAUCACAUUCUUGGUUUUCGGGUGGAGACCAUUUCUUGCCCAAAAAUCUGUAGGUAUUAUUGAAAAUGGUCGUGCAUGCUAUUUUUGACAAAAAUGGGGGUUGUGUGGCCAUUGAUCAUCGACCAGUUUCUCGUACACCUCAUCCCACAUAUGUUUCCUUAUCAUAGUUCACAUUCUUGGAUUUCUGGUGGAAACCAUUUCUUGGUCAAAAAUCGGUAGGUGUUCGCCUUUGGUAUUAUUGAAAAUGCUCGUUCAAGGCAAUUUCUGACAAAAAUGGGUCUGUGUGGCCAUUCAUCAUCGACAAGAGGCUCGUACACCUCACCCCACUUAUGUUUCCUUGCCAUAGGCCACAUUCUUCGAUUUCUAUGGAGACCAUUUCUUGGUCAAAAAUCUGAAGGUGUUAGCCUUCGGUAUUAUUGAAAAUGGUCGUUCAUGGCUAUUUUCGACAAAAAUGGGGGUUGUGUGGCCAUUCAUCAUUUACCAGAGGCUCGUUCACCUCACCCCACAUAUGUUUUCUUGCCAUAGAUCACAUUCUUAGAUUUUUGGUGGAGACCAUUUCUUGGUCAAAAAUCCGUAGGUGUUAGCCUUCAAUAUUAUUGAAAGUGGUCGUUCAUGCUAUUUUUGAAAAAAUAGGGGUUGUGUGGCCUUUGAUCAUCAACCAGAGGCUCGUACACCUCACCCACAUAUGUUUCUUGUCGUGGAUCACAUUCUUGGAUUUCUGGUGGAGACCAUUUCUUGGUAAAAAUCCUAGGUGUUAGCCUUCAGUAUUAUUGAAAAUGGUUCUUCAUGGCUAUUUUCGGCAAAAUGGGGGUUGUGGGGCCAUUGAUCAUCGACCAGAGGCUUGUACACCUAACCCCACAUAUGUUUCCUUGUCAUAGGUCACAUUCUUAGAUUUCUGGUGGAGACCAUUUCUUAGUCAAAAAUCCGAAGGUGUUAGCCUUCGGUAUUAUUGAAAACGGUCGUUCAUUCUAUUUUCGACAAAAAUGGGGGUUGUGUAGCCAUUGACCAUCGAAUAGAGGCUCGUACACCUGACCCCAUAUAUGUUUCCUUGCCAUAGGUCACAUUCUUUGACUUCUGGUGGGGUCCAUUUGUUGAUCAAAAAUCCGUAGGUGUUGGCCUUCGGUUUUAUUGAAAAUUCUCAUUCUCGCUAUUUUGGACAAAAAUGGGGGUUGUGUAUUGUGUAGCCAUUGAUCAUCGACCAGAGGCUCAUACACCUGACCCCGCAUAUGUUUCCUUGCCAUAGAUCAAAUUCUUGGAUUUUUGGUGGAGAUCAUUUCUUGGUAAAAAACCCGUAGUUGUUAGCCUUUGGUAUUAUUGAAAAUGGUCAUUUAAUGGCUAUUUUCGGCAAAGAUGAAGGUUGUGUGGCCUUUGAUCAUCGACUAGAGGCUCCUACACCUCACCCCACAUAGGUUUCCUUGCCAUAGAUCACAUUCUUGGUUUUCUGGUGGAGACCAUUUCUUGGCCAAAAAUUCAUUGGUGUUAGCCUUCGGUAUUAUUGAAAAUGGUCCUUCAUGCUAUUUUCGACAAAAAUGGGAGUUGUGUGGCCAUUCAUCAUCGAUCAGAGGCUCGUACACCUCACCCCACGUAUGUUUUUUCCAUAGAUUGCAUUCUUGGCCAAAAAUUCGUAGGUGUUAGCCAUGGGUAUUAUUGAAAAUGGUCGUUCAUGCCAUUUUCGACAAAAAUAGGUGUUGUGUGACCAUUAAUCAUCGACCAGAGGCUCGUACACCUUACCCCACAUAUGUUUCUAUGCCAUAGAUCACAUUUUGGAUUUUUGGUCGAGACAAUUUAUUGGUCAAAAAUCCGUAGGUGUUUGCCUUCGGUAUUAUUGAAAAUGGUCGUUGAUGCUAUUUUCGACAAAAAUAGGGGUUGUGUAGCCAUUGACCAUCGAACACUAGACCCCACAUAAGUUUCCUUGCCAUAGGUCACAUUCUUGGAUUUUUUGGUGGAGGCCAUUUCUUGGAUUUCUUGGCCACCCAACACCUAUUUUUGUUGAAAAUAGCAUGAACGACCAUUUUCAAUAAUACCGAAGGCAAACACCUACGGAAUUUUGACCAAGAACUGGUCUCCACCAGAAAUCCAAGAAUAUGAUAUAUGGCAAGGAACCAUAUGUGGGGUGAGGUGAACGAGCCUUUGGUCAAUGAUCAAUGGCCACACAACCCCCAUUUUUGUCGAAAAUAGCCAUGAACGACCAUUUUCAAUAAUACUGAAGGCUAGCACCUACGGAUUUUUGACCAAGAAAUGGUAUCCACCAGAAAACCAAGAAUGUGACCUAUGGCAUGGAAACAUAUGUGGGGUGAGGUGAACGAGCCGCUGGUCAAUGAUCAAUGGCCACACGACCCCCAUUUUUGUCGAAAAUAGCCAUGAACGACCAUUUUCAAUAAUACCAAAGGCUACAGAUUUUUGACCAAGAAAUGGUCUCCACUAGAAAUCAAAGAAUGUGACCUAGGGCAAGGAAACAUAUGUGGGGUGAGGCAUACGAGCCUCUGGUCGAUGAUCAAUGGCCACACAACCCUAAUUUUUGACCAAGAAAUGGUUUCCAUAAAAAAUCCAAGAUUGUGAUCUAUGGCAAGAAAACAUAUGUUGGGUGAAGUGUACGUGCCUCUGGUCGAUAAUCAAUGGCCACACAAUCCCCAUUUUUGUCCAAAAUAGCUUGCACGACCAUUUUCAAUAAUACCGAAGGCAAACAACUACAGAUUUUUGAACUAGUAAUGGUCUCCACCAAAAAUCCAAGAAUGUGACCAUUUUCAAUAAUACUGAAGGCUAACACCUACGGAUUUUUGACCAAGAAAUGGUCUCCACCAGAAAUCCAAUAAUGUGAUCUAUGGAAAGUUAACAUAAGUGAGGUGAGGUGAACGAGCCUCUGGUCAAUGAUCAAUGGCCACGCAACCCCCAGUUUUGUCGAAAAUAGCCAUGAACAACCAUUUUCAAUAAUACCGAAGGCUAACACCUAUGGAUUUUUGACCAAGAAGUGGUCUCCACCAGAAAUCCAAGAAUGUGACCUAUGGCAAGGAAACAUAUGUGGGGUGAGGUGUAUGAGCCUCUGGUCGAUGAUCAAUCGACACACAACCCCCAUUUUUGUCGGAAAUAUCCACGAACGACCAUUUUCAAUAAUAUCGAAGUCUAACACAUAUGGAUUUUUGACCAUGAAAUGGUAUCCACCAGAAAUCCAAGAAUGUGAUCUAUGGCAAGGAAACAUAAGUGGGGUGAGGUGUACGAGCCUCUAGUUGAUGAUCAAAGGACACACAACCCUAUUUUUGUCACAAAUAGCAGGAACGACCAUUUUCAAUAAUACCGAAGGCUAACACCUAAGGAUUUUUGACCAAGUAAUGGUAUCCACUAGAAAUCCAAUAAUGUGAUCUAUGGCAAGGAAACAUAUGUGGGGUGAGGUGAACGAGCCUCUGGUCAAUGAUCAAUGGCCACACAACACCCAUUUUUUGUCGAAAAUAGCCAUGAACGACCAUUUUCAAUAAUACCGAAGGCUAACACCUACGGAUUUUUGACCAAGAAAUGGUCUCCACCAGAAAUCCAAGAACGUGACCUAUGGCAAGGAAACAUAUGUGGGGUGAUGUGUACAAGCCUCUGGUCGAUGAUCAAUGGCCACACAACCCCCAAUUUUUGUCGGAAAUAGCCACGAACGACCAUUUUCAAUAAUACCGAAUGCUAACACAUAUGGAUUUUUGACCAAGAAAUGGUCUCCACUAGAAAUCCAAGAAUGUGAUCUAUGGCAAGGAAACAUAAGUGGGGUGAGGUGUACGAGCCUCUAGUUGAUGAUCAAAGGCCACACAACCCCUAUUUUUGUCGAAAAUAGCAUGAACGACCAUUUUCAAUAAUACCGAAGGCUAACACCUAAGGAUUUGUUACCAAGAAAUGGUCUCCACCAGAAAUCCAAUAAUGUGAUCUAUGGCAAGGAAACAUAUGUGGGGUGAGGUGAACGAGCCUCUGGUCAAUGAUCAAUGGCCACACAACCCCCAUUUUUGUCGAACAUAGCUAUGAACGAUCAUUUUCAAAAAUACCGAUGGCUAACACCUACGGAUUUUUGACCAAGAAAUGGUCUCCACCAGAAAUCCAAGAAUGUGACUAUGGCAAGGAAACAUAUGUGGGGUGAUGUGUACAAGCCUCUGGUGAUGAUCAAUGGCCACACAACUCCCAUUUUUGUCGAGAUAGCCACGAACGACCAUUUUCAAUAAUACCGAAGGCUAACACAUAUGGAUUUUUGACCAUGAAAUGGUCUCCACUAGAAAUCCAAGAAUGUGAUCUAUGGCAAGGAAACAUAAGUGGGGUGAGGUGUACGAGCCUCUGGUUGAUGACCAAAGGCCACACAACCCCUAUUUUUGUCGAAAAUAGCAUGAACGACCAUUUUCAAUAAUACCUAAGGCUAACACCUAAGAAUUUUUGACCAAGAAAUGGUCUCCACUAGAAAUCCAAGAAUGUGAUCUAUGGCAAGUAAACAUAUGUGGGAUGAAGUGAAUGAGCCUCUGGUCAAUGAUCAAUGGCCACACAACCCCCAUUUUUAUCGAAAAUAGCCAUGAAUGACCAUUUUCAAUAAUACUGAAGGCCAACACCUACGGAUUUUUUACUAAAAAUGGUCUCCACCAGAAAUCCAGGAAUGUGAUCUAUGGCAAGGAAACAUAUGUGGGGUGAGUUGAACGAGCCUUGGGUCAAUGAUCAAUGGCCACACAACCCCCAUUUUUGUUGAAAAUAGCCAUUAACGACCAUUUUCAAUAAUAUCGAAGGCUAACACCUACGGAUUUUUGAUCAAGAAAUGGUCUCCACCAGAAAUCCAAGAAUGUGACCUAUGGCAAGAAAACAUAUGUGGGGUGUGGUGUACGAGCCUUUGAUUGAUGAUCAAAGGUCACACAACCCCCAUUUUUGUCGAAAAUAGCCAUGAACGAUCAUUUUCAAAAAUACCGAUGGCUAACACCUACGGAUUUUUGACCAAGAAAUGGUCUCCACCAGAAAUCCAAGAACGUGACCUAUGGCAAGGAAACAUAUGUGGGGUGAUGUGUACAAGCCUCUGGUAGAUGAUCAAUGGCCACACAACUCCCAUUUUUGUCGGAGAUAGCCACGAACGACCAUUUUCAAUAAUACCGAAGGCUAACACAUAUGGAUUUUUGACCAUGAAAUGGUCUCCGCUAGAAAUCCAAGAAUGUGAUCUAUGGCAAGGAAACAUAAGUGGGGUGAGGUGUACGAGCCUCUGGUUGAUGACCAAAGGCCACACAACCCCUAUUUUUGUCGAAAAUAGCAUGAACGACCAUUUUCAAUAAUACCUAAGGCUAACACCUAAGAAUUUUUGACCAAGAAAUGGUCUCCACUAGAAAUCCAAGAAUGUGAUCUAUGGCAAGUAAACAUAUGUGGGAUGAAGUGAUGAGCCUCUGGUCAAUGAUCAAUGGCCACACAACCCCAUUUUUUCGAAAAUAGCCAUGAAGACCAUUUUCAAUAAUACUGAAGGCAACACCUACGGAUUUUUACUAAAAAUGGUCUCCACCAGAAAUCCAAGAAUGUGAUCUAUGGCAAGGAAACAUAUGUGGGGUGAGGUGACGAGCCUUGGUCAUGAUCAAUGGCCACACAACCCCCAUUUUUGUGAAAAUAGCCAUGAACGACCAUUUUCAAUAAUACGAAGGCUAACACCUACGGAUUUUUGAUCAAGAAAUGGUCUCCACCAGAAAUCCAAGAAUGUGACUAUGGCAAGAAACAUAUGUGGGGUGGGUGUACGAGCCUUGGUGAUGAUCAAGGCACACAACCCCCAUUUUUGUCGAAAAUAGCCAUGAACGAUCAUUUUCAAAAUACCGAAGGCUAACACCUACGGAUUUUUGACCAAGAAAUGGUCUCCACCAGAAAUCCAAGAACGUGACUAUGGCAAGGAAACAUAUGUGGGGUGAGGUGUACGAGCCUCUGGUCGAUGAUCAAUGGCCACACAACCCCAUUUUUGUCGAAAAUAGCCAUGAACGACCAUUUUCAAUAAUACCGAAGGCUAACACCUAUGGAUUUUUGACCAAGAAAUGGUCUCCACCAGAAAUCCAAGAAUGUGAUCUAUGGCAAGGAAACAUAUGUGGGGUGAGGUGUACGAGCCUCUGGUCGAUGAUCAAUGGCCACACAACCCCAUUUUUGUCGAAAAUAGCCAUGAACGACCAUUUUCAAUAAUACCGAAGGCUAACACCUACAGAUUUUUGACCAAGAAAUGGUCUCCACCAGAAAUCCAAGAAUGUGAUCUAUGGCAAGGAAACAUAUGUGGGUGAGGUGACGAGCCUCUGGUCGAUGAUCAAUGGCCACACAACCCCCAUUUUUGUCGAAAAUAGCCAUGAACGACAUUUUCAAUAAUACCAAAUGCUAACACCUACGGAUUUUUGACCAAAAAUGGUCUCCACCAGAAAUCCAAGAAUGUGAUCUAUGGCAAGGAAACAUAUGUGGGGUGAGGUGUACGAGCCUCUGGUCGAUGAUCAAUGGCCACACAACCCCCAUUUUUGUCGAAAAUAGCC